rnacentral:tRNA from 1 species
GGAUAUAGCUCAGUUGGUAGAGUGCUUGCCUUGUCUGCACAAGGCCCUGGGUUCAAUCCCUAGUACCA